rnacentral:rRNA from 1 species
GACGAACGCUGGCGGCGUGCCUAAUACAUGCAAGUAGAACGAGUUGCGAACGGGUGAGUAACGCGUGGUAAACUGCCUCAUAGCGGGGGAUUACUUUUGGAAACGGUAGCUAAUACCGCCUACCCUCCGAAUUGCCCAGAUGGGAUUAGCUUGUAGGUGGGGGAACGGCUAACCUAGGCGACGAUCCCUAGCUGGGCUGAGAGGAUGACCCGCCACACUGGAACUGAGACACGGUCCAGACGCCUACGGGAGGCAGCAGGGGGGAAUAUUGCACAAUGGGCGCAAGCCUGAUGCAGCCAUGCCGCGUGUAUGAAGAAGGCCUUCGGGUUGUAAAGUACUUUCAGCGGGGAGGCGUUACCCGCAGAAGAAGCACCGGCUAACUCCGUGCCAGCAGCCGCGGUAAUAC